UACGGGGAGGUGCGAGCGUUGUCCGGAAUCACUGGGCGUAAAGGGCGCGUAGGUGGUUUGAUAAGGGUGUGGUGAAAGUCCGGGGCUCAACCCCGGAUCUGCCGUGCCGACUGUCAAACUCGAGGACUGUAGAGGCAGACGGAAUUCCUGGUGUAGCGGUGAAAUGCGCAGAUAUCAGGAAGAACACCCGUGGCGAAAGCGGCUCUCUGGAACGGUACUGACGCUGAGACGCGAAAGCGUGGGGAGCGAACAGG
rnacentral:rRNA from 1 species